AAAAGCAAAAUUCUCCUAAAAUAGUAAGGCAUGAAAGAACUUAUAAGACAUUUGGUGCAGCACCUUAUUUUCAUCUUGGGAAAUUCAUUAUUUUACUUGGAGAACUUGUACUCCAACUUUGGGUAUUAUUGGAGACGCCAAAACGUAGCAGCAACUGAAGGUUUCACUUUGCUUAACUAAGUCCUAUAUGCAGCAACGAAGAAAAGCUCGACACUAACCUCAUAUCCUGUCUCAUUUGAUUUUCUUGUUCUCUUAAGCUCGGGGCAGAAUACGUUGGUUUUUGCUUGAACCAGGUUUGGCAUAUUAAUUGUGGAAGUGGUUGGACCGAGUUCUUGAACGGCGUGAGGUUCAACAAAAUAUGUUCCUCGGUCCUCAUUGGCUGACUUAUGAGGGAAGAGAAAGAGCCUGGGAGUUGUUAGCCAAGGUCAUGACCGUGCAUCACACGUAAUUAAUGGUGUUUUAUGCUCUGUUGCGAAGAAGAUAAUAGAUGUGGUUGCAAACUUUUUAGUCUUCUAUUAGUAUUUCUUGAGUCUAAUUUGUUAUUAGCAUAUGUUCAUUAUUUUUGGGAUAUUUCACAGCAAAUGUUAAAGUUAUUUGAUCUUGUUAGUUUUUCCAGUCUUAUCGAAUUAAUUAGAACACUUGUUUGAGUUGUUUCAACACCACUGAAACAGUUAUAAAUAGUGGUCUAACUACCUUAGAUUAAGUUUUAUCUUUGCAGAUAUUAAGUUCAUUUUGAAGAUGACUAAAAAUAAGAUUAACUAUGUUUUAUCUCUCUCAGGAACUUGCACUUUUGGUAUAUUUUAAUUACUAUUUUUUUAUGUAACAUAUCAGUUGGAUAUAUAUAGAAAAUGUUGAUAUUAUUUAGCGGGGAUAUAAGUGCAAUGCACAUAAGUGCACUUCCUUUGUUUUCCUACUUGAUAUAUUCUUCCUUACAUAUAUUAACGAGUUUCAUUUUUGGACCUUUCUAAUUGAUUUUCCGAAGCUCU